AAUGAACGCUGGCGGUAGGCCUAACACAUGCAAGUCGAACGGCAGCACAGUAAGAGCUUGCUCUUACGAGUGGCGAGUGGCGGACGGGUGAGGAAUACAUCGGCAUCUACUUUUUCGUGGGUGAUCCCGUAGGACAACUUACGCUACUACCUCAUACGACCUACGGGUGAAAGCAGGGGAUCUUCGGACCUUGCGCGAUUGAAUGAGCCGAUGUCGGAUUAGCUAGUUGGCGGGGUAAUGGCCCACCAAGGCGACGAUCCGUAGCUGGUCUGAGAGGAUGAUCAGCCACACUGGAACUGAGACACGGUCCAGACUCCUACGGGAGGCAGCAGUGGGGAAUAUUGGACAAUGGGGGCAAGCCUGAUCCAGCCAUACCGCGUGGGUGAAGAAGGCCUUCGGGUUGUAAAGCCCUUUUGUUGGGAAAGAAAAGCAGCAGGUUAAUACCCCGCUGUUCUGACGGUACCCAAAGAAUAAGCACCGGCUAACUUCGUG
rnacentral:rRNA from 1 species